UGAGUAUUAUUUCAUUAAUAAGAGUCUUUGAGAAAUAACUGAUGAAGUCCCAAGAAAAUUCCUCUAGUCAAGUUCUGAUCCAG